rnacentral:rRNA from 1 species
UACGUAGGGUGCGAGCGUUGUCCGGAAUUAUUGGGCGUAAAGGGCUCGUAGGCGGUCUGUUGCGUCGGGAGUGAAAACUCAGGGCUUAACCCUGAGCCUGCUUCCGAUACGGGCAGACUAGAGGUAUGCAGGGGAGAACGGAAUUCCUGGUGUAGCGGUGAAAUGCGCAGAUAUCAGGAGGAGCACCGGUGGCGAAGGCGGUUCUCUGGGCAUUACCUGACGCUGAGGAGCGAAAGUGUGGGGAGCGAACAGG